rnacentral:rRNA from 1 species
AACGAACGCUGGCGGCAUGCCUAACACAUGCAAGUCGAACGAGACCUUCGGGUCUAGUGGCGCACGGGUGCGUAACGCGUGGGAAUCUGCCCUUGGGUUCGGAAUAACUCAGAGAAAUUUGAGCUAAUACCGGAUGAUGACGUAAGUCCAAAGAUUUAUCGCCCAAGGAUGAGCCCGCGUAAGAUUAGCUUGUUGGUAGGGUAAUGGCCUACCAAGGCGACGAUCUUUAGCUGGCCUGAGAGGAUGAUCAGCCACACUGGGACUGAGACACGGCCCAGACUCCUACGGGAGGCAGCAGUGGGGAAUAUUGGACAAUGGGCGAAAGCCUGAUCCAGCAAUGCCGCGUGAGUGAUGAAGGCCUUAGGGUUGUAAAGCUCUUUUACCAGGGAUGAUAAUGACAGUACCUGGAGAAUAAGCUCCGGCUAACUCCGUG